GUGCGCUCACUUCAGCACACACACGCUAGAACUGGAACAUGCAGAGAAAAUUAGCAUGGCCCCUGCCCAAGGACGACACGCAAAUUCAUGAAGAAAUCUGUCAUUUG